UACGUAGGUGGCAAGCGUUGUUCGGAAUUAUUGGGCGUAAAGGGCGCGUAGGCGGUCGAUUAAGUCAGCUGUGAAAGCCCGGGGCUCAACCCCGGAGGGUCGGCUGAUACUGGUUGACUAGAGUACGGAAGAGGUAGCUGGAAUUCCCGGUGUAGCGGUGAAAUGCGUAGAGAUCGGGAGGAACACCCGUGGCGAAGGCGGCCAUCUGGACCAGUACUGACGCUGAGGCACGAAAGCGUGGGGAGCAAACAGG
rnacentral:rRNA from 1 species